UACGUAGGUGGCGAGCGUUUGUCCGGAUUUAUUGGGCGUAAAGGGCGCGCAGGUGGUGCGGUAAGACUGCCGUGAAAUCUCCCGGCUCAACCGGGAGGGGGCGGCGGAGACUGCGGGACUGGAGGGACCUAGAGGCCGGUGGAAUUCCCGGUGUAGUGGUGAAAUGCGUAGAGAUCGGGGAGGAACACCUGUGGCGAAGGCGGCCGGCUGGGGGUGCCCUGACGCUGAGGAGCGAAAGCGUGGGGAGCGAACAGG
rnacentral:rRNA from 1 species